rnacentral:rRNA from 1 species
GACGAACGCUGGCGGCGUGCCUAAUACAUGCAAGUUGAGCGAUGAAGAUUGGUGCUUGCACCAAUUUGAAGAGCAGCGAACGGGUGAGUAACGCGUGGGGAAUCUGCCUUUGAGCGGGGGACAACAUUUGGAAACGAAUGCUAAUACCGCAUAACAACUUUAAACAUAAGUUUUAAGUUUGAAAGAUGCAAUUGCAUCACUCAAAGAUGAUCCCGCGUUGUAUUAGCUAGUUGGUGAGGUAAAGGCUCACCAAGGCGAUGAUACAUAGCCGACCUGAGAGGGUGAUCGGCCACAUUGGGACUGAGACACUGCCCAAACUCCUACGGGAGGCAGCAGUAGGGAAUCUUCGGCAAUGGACGAAAGUCUGACCGAGCAACGCCGCGUGAGUGAAGAAGGUUUUCGGAUCGUAAAACUCUGUUGGUAGAGAAGAACGUUGGUGAGAGUGGAAAGCUCAUCAAGUGACGGUAACUACCCAGAAAGGGACGGCUAACUACGUG